UGCAUGGUUGUGCAUCCUUCAUCUACAGCCCUCAGACCCAGUUCUCUAGAACUGACAUUGUCCUCCACUGCUCCUAAUCUCCUGCCACUGACCUUAAACCUUCACAACCUCAGACUCCCUCCACAACUGUGUCUUCUACCACCACCCUCAUUCUCUGUCCGCUUGACUUGUGACACGUCUUGACAGAAUUUAUCCCCACAGCACAGUGGAAAAUUCACUACUAUCAACACCUGACAAAAAAAGUAUCCAGUCUACCGCACCAGUUUGAUUGGAUCCACAUUUUCUCUCUCAUGUCUUCAUCGUAUUGCUAAAAAAACACACCUUUCAAGGGUACUUAGAGAAUAACAGCUUCUUACCCAUUCAGAAGUAUCUCUCUGUGGCACCUCCACUAUCUCUACCCACAUCUAUAACUCUUAUCACCUCUCCGUGAGCAUGGAGAGGUGGUAUCUCCAAGGUUCAUGACCAGUCUCGUGCUUUUCUAUAAGAUGAGGGGAAAUUGAACGUAAAGAUUUGCCUUGAAACUGGUUGUGGGGAACAGCAUAAUCAGUCAAAAUCCUGACUGCUCCAUAUAAGUGACCAUCUUCCUCCUCAUUUACUACUCCACAUAAUUAUGUGUCACCCCAAAACUAAUAAAUGACUCAUUACUAUAUUCUUCUGAAUCUGCAGCAGGGACAGCUGGGAGAGCUAAACAGAUGUUUGUGAAAAGGAACCACAUGAAAGGACGAUCUCAUAUCUCCAUUUUUACAUGCCUGCUGCUCAGCGUUCACCUGCUUAAUUUGUACUACAUGUAUUUUGCACAGUGUUAAUUUUUAAAAUGCUGCACAAUCUUCAGCUAUGUUAGAUCAAGAGUUUUCCAGUUGGAUGCCUUAUUUUUUUAAAGAACGGUGAAGAAGAAAACAAGAUCCUGUGCCAGCUAAGAGCACCCUGCCAAUAUAUAUGAACACUUUCCUCUGACCUUAUCGAUUCAAUCACAUCAUGAUGCAUACAGGCCCAGGAAAACAAAACUCUGGAAGAGCAAACAAACGGAAAAGGUCAGAAAGGUCCCUGUAUUUAUUGUGUAAGGAGAAAUAGAGACUAGCUACACUUCAAAGAAUGACAGGCAAAAGGCAGUGUUUGAAAAUAAAAUAUUUCUAAGUGAAUGUUAAUUAAACACAA